CUCGUUUCUUUCUAAAUGGAUCGGGCGUGGGCAAAACUGGAGAGGAAGUGGUGGGCAAGACCCUAGGGGCUACAUUUGUCAGAUUGGGACUGUCAGAAGGGGGCGAAGCUUUUGAACUUGAAGGUGUCAUAAGUGUCGGGGGCCCUUCACAGAUCAGGAUUAUGCCAAUGGGAAUGAGACCCAGGGCCAGGAAGCAAACAAAGACGCAACAUCUUUGCCUGCCUGUCAUUUCAGGGGGAAAGGGCCAAGACAUGUUUACUUAGCUUGGAUGUCGUCUAAUAGAGGAUGAUGGGGCACAGAAAGGUGGUCCAGUUCCCCCCACCUCGCCAAGGGCGUGUUCUAGGAGUUAAAGAGCAACAACCUGCAAUCUAGAGAGAGAGAGAGAGAGAGAGAGAGAGAGAGGGAGAGCGAGAGCGAGAGCCCCUAAUGGCCAGUUAGUGGGCUCUAGGUCAAACUGUCCCCAAAUUUGUUAUUUGUUAUCAUUACUUGUUUUCAUGUCACUUGUCUGUUUUCUACUGCACCCCUCUCACCAAAGCAAAGCAAACAUUAGCAGCACAUUGACCGUAGUCAGGCAUCCUCAUUCCAUAGGUGCUAUAAAACAUUUCCUGUAAAUACAGUGUAAUAGCAUCCCCAACUCCUAACCCAUAAACACCGUUUCUUCACACAUCCGCCCAGAAAUCCUGUAAUAGAAAAACAUUAAAACUGUAACCCUGUAGGGAAGAAAAUGUAAAUGGUAACGCUGCGCAGUUAUCUCUGUAAGCAACACAAGACACAAAAAUGGCAUUUACAGGUUCACUAAUCCUCGAAUAUUUUGUCAUCCUUCUACUCCUGUAAAAGAAACCCACAUAAAUUCAUCCACCCUUUUAUCCUAUCUAGGUGGAGGUGGUUAACCUUGAGUCAUGGUCAAGUCUUGUCAUCUUUUACCAGUCAGUCCGUUUGUUUUUAUUCCCAGUCUUUCAUCCAUUCAUCCGUUCUUUGCUGAUAGUGAAACCCGUCGUCGCAUCUAGUUUCCACACUCAGCAAAAUGACGUCAUCUCAAAAAGAAACAAGAACUUGAGUUUGGA
ensembl:lncRNA